rnacentral:lncRNA from 1 species
AAACAAUGGCAUUUUCCUUCCUCCUUCAUAUGGGGAAAGGGCUUUGAGAAAAACACUUCGAGUUUAAAAUAUGUCCAUUGAAGCAUGGUGAACCUAAUAAAAUAGUGUCUAUGAAAUCUAAAGGGCAAGAAGCUGUGAGAAUUGGCUUGAUACCAGACUGAAGAGAUGACUGCACCAAGAACUGCUUCACUUUCAGUAAUGAGAGUCAAGGAUGUGGGUUUUCUGUGGGCAGAUGUAGAGCAUGUGGAGAGAGUCAGCCUGGGUCAAUUAUAAAAGGGACCUUGCCCCAAGGGCUUUCUGUCAGGGCUGAUGGGGGAAGCAAACUCAUCAGGAUGCUGAUGGUGGUGUCAAAUGCAGAAGAUGAGAGAGUAGGGUGAGGAUGAGGGGCAUAGCAGAUCUGCCAGAAGAGGAGUAUUAUUGGAGAUGGUGUCCCGUUCUGUUGCCCAGGCUGGAGUGCAAUGGCGUGAUCUUGGCUCACUGCAACCUCUGCCUCCCGGGUUCAAGCGAUUCUCCUGCCUCAGCUUCCCAAGGAGCUGGGAUUACAGAGACGGGGUUUCACCAUAUUGGGCAGGCUGGUCUCGAACUCCUGACCUCAAGCGAUCCACCCGCCUUGACCUCUCGAAGUUCUGGGAUUACAACUGUGAACCACUGCACCCGGCCCAUAAGUUAUUUAAAUGAUGGAAAAAUUCUAUAAAGAGAAAAUUCCACCUCCUCUACUGUUAGUGGUGAAGCUCACAUAAGAAAGAGCCAGCUGAGAGUCUGUCAAGGGGAGACCCAAAACCAGAGAAACUCCUUUUCUUCUUUGUCUCAAUCACAUCAUUUUCUAGGGACACCAAUUCAUCAAGAAGCAAGAGUUUUGCUGUCAGUUCCUCCUGCAUUCAUUCUUCCUGCUGCCUUGUGAAGAAGGUGCCUUGCUUCCCCUUUGCCUUCCACCAUGAUUGUAAGUUUAACGAGGACUCCCCAGCCAUGCAGAACUGUUCACAACCUUGAAUGGCAUGUUGGCAAUAAAAAGAAGACAAUAAAAAAC